rnacentral:snRNA from 1 species
GUGCUUGGUUUGGCAGCAUGUAUACUAAAAUUGGAAUGACACAGAGAAGAUCAUCAUGGCCCCUGUGCAAGGAUACACACAAAUUCAUGAAGUGUUCUAUAUUUUG